UACGUAGGUGGCAAGCGUUGUCCGGAAUUAUUGGGCGUAAAGCGCGCGCAGGCGGUCCUUUAAGUCUGAUGUGAAAGCCCACGGCUCAACCGUGGAGGGUCAUUGGAAACUGGGGGACUUGAGUGCGGGAGAGAAGAGUGGAAUUCCACGUGUAGCGGUGAAAUGCGUAGAGAUGUGGAGGAACACCAGUGGCGAAGGCGACUCUUUGGCCUGUAACUGACGCUGAGGCGCGAAAGCGUGGGUAGCGAACAGG
rnacentral:rRNA from 1 species